rnacentral:rRNA from 1 species
UAGGCAGGUACAGCGGGAAGCCACCUGGCGACAGGGAGCGGAACCCGAAAGCCUGUCUCAGUUCGGAUUGGAGUCUGCAACCCGACUCCAUGAAGCUGGAUUCGCUAGUAAUCGCGCAUCAGCCACGGCGCGGUGAAUACGUUCCCGGGCCUUGUACACACCGCCCGUCAAGCCAUGGAAGUCGGGGGUGCCUGAAGUGCGCUGCCGCAAGGAGCGCCCUAGGGUAAAACCGGUGACUGGGGCUAAGUCGUAACAAGGUACC